rnacentral:rRNA from 1 species
CCUACGGGAGACUGCAGUGAGGAAUAUUGGUCAAUGGACGCAAGUCUGAACCAGCCAUGCCGCGUGAAGGAAGACUGCCCUAUGAGUUGUAAACUUCUUUUAUACGAGGGUAAACUCAGAUACGCGUGUCUUUCUGCAAGUACCUUACGAAUAAGGAUCGGCUAACUCCGUGCCAGCAGCCGCGGUAAUACGGAGGAUUCAAGCGUUAUCCGGAUUUAUUGGGUUUAAAGGGGGCGUAGGCGGGCGGAUAAGUUAGAGGUGAAAUCCCGAGGCUCAACUUUGGAAUUGCCUCUGAUACUGGUAGGCUAGAGAGCAGUUGCGGUAGGCGGAAUGUAUGGUGUAGCGGUGAAAUGCUUAGAGAUCAUACAGAACACCGAUUGCGAAGGCAGCCUACCAAGCUACGUCUGACGUUGAGGCACGAAAGCGUGGGUAGCAAACAGGAUUAGAUACCCCUGUAGUC